CUUGUUUUCAUCUUCUGUUGUUGAACCAGGUUCAGUAAGCAGAACAAGGACAGCAUAAAUCCUUAUAUAUACCUGCCCUUUGGAACUGGACCCCGAAACUGCAUUGGCAUGAGGUUUGCUCUCAUGAACAUGAAAGUUGCUGUUGUCCAAGUCCUGCAGAAUUUCUCCUUCAAACCUUGCAAAGAAACACAGAUCCCCCUGAAAAUACAAUCUCAAGGACUUAUUCAACCACAAAAGCCAAUUGCUCUAAAAGCUGAGCUGAGAGAUGGGACUGUAAGUGGAGCCUGACUUUCCCUAAGGACUUACACUUUGUUCUUCAAGGGACCUGUAUCCCACAGCACCCCAGACCUCGAUUUACUUUGUGAAUAAAACCCAGAAAUGAAGAUGA